CUACGGGUUGCACCAGUCGAGAAUCUUCCGCAAUGGGCGCAAGCCUGACGGAGCAAUGCCGCGUGAGGGAUGACGGCCCUAGGGUUGUAAACCUCUGUCAGAAGGGACGAAGAACGUGACGGUACCUUCAGAGGAAGCCAUGGCUAACUACGUGCCAGCAGCCGCGGUAAUACGUAGAUGGCGAGCGUUAUUCGGAUUUACUGGGCGUAAAGGGUCCGUAGGGGGUCUGCCAAGUCUGAUGUGAAAUCCUGCGGCUCAACCGCGGAACUGCAUUGGAAACUGGCGGACUAGAGUGUGGAGGGGUGAGCGGAAUUCCUGGUGUAGCGGUGGAAUGCGUAGAUAUCAGGAAGAACACCGAUGGCGAAGGCGGCUCACUGGCGCAUCACUGACCCUGAGGGACGAAAGCGUGGGUAGCAAACAGGAUUAGAUACCCCUGUAGUU
rnacentral:rRNA from 1 species